CCUACGGGAGGCUGCAGUGGGGAAUAUUGGACAAUGGGGGCAACCCUGAUCCAGCCAUGCCGCGUGUGUGAAGAAGGCCCUCGGGUUGUAAAGCACUUUCAGUGAGGAAGAACGCCUGGUGGUUAAUACCCAUCAGGAAAGACAUCACUCACAGAAGAAGCACCGGCUAACUCCGUGCCAGCAGCCGCGGUAAUACGGAGGGUGCGAGCGUUAAUCGGAAUUACUGGGCGUAAAGCGCGCGUAGGUGGCUUGAUAAGCCGGUUGUGAAAGCCCCGGGCUCAACCUGGGAACGGCAUCCGGAACUGUCAAGCUAGAGUGCAGGAGAGGAAGGUAGAAUUCCCGGUGUAGGGGUGAAAUGCGUAGAGAUCGGGAGGAAUACCAGUGGCGAAGGCGGCCUUCUGGACUGACACUGACACUGAGGUGCGAAAGCGUGGGUAGCAAACAGGAUUAGAUACCCCUGUAGUC
rnacentral:rRNA from 1 species